rnacentral:lncRNA from 1 species
GGUCAGUCCAGCUUUCUAUUGAAAGUAGAAGGCAGAGAGAACCUGACAGCUUCUGGAACAGGCGGAAGCACAGAGGCGCUGAGGCAGCACCCUGCGUGGGCCAGGGACAGCCGGCCACCUUCCGGACCAGAGGACAGGUGCCCACCCGGCUGGGGAGGCGGCCUAAGCCACAGCAGCAGCGGUCGCCAUCUUGGUCCGGGACCCGCCGAACUUAGGAAAUUAGUCUGAACAGGUGAGAGGGUGCGCCAGAGAACCUGACAGCUUCUGGAACAGGCGGAAGCACAGAGGCGCUGAGGCAGCACCCUGCGUGGGCAGAUGACAGAUCUGAGUGGCUAUGUUGAACUCCGGUUGUGUGUGUGUUUCUGCUAAGAAUGUAAAUUUCAACUGCCAGAUCUUUUGAAAACAUAAGAAACAUCAGAAAUUACAGCAG